GCUGGAAUGGUAAACAGGAGGCAGAGUGCAAGAAUGAAACUACCCAGGGAACAACGUCCUACAAAGAGAACUGUGCCCAGGAGUUGGGGCAGUGGUCUGCAUUGAGUGGUGACCCACGAUGGAGCAAAUGGCUGGUGAAGAGCCUAGGAUGCCGUGGGGACCUGGGAAGAGCACGUUACUUCCAACUAGGAGGAGGACAACUCAGAAGGUGAGGAUUUUACACAUCUUCAGGGUACAAGGAAAAGGAAGAGGGUCCUGCCAGAGCAAUAUUUUUCCAGCACUACUGGACUGCCACAUUGGAAAGGUCAAGAACUGAAGCCCUUUCGAGGCCUACCAUUCCCAGCUCCGUUCUGCCAGAUGGAAAGAAUUUCAGAAAUGAUGGAAUAACUGGGGGAAUGUAAAUGAAGUACACAGUU